rnacentral:rRNA from 1 species
GACGAACGCUGGCGGCGUGCUUAACACAUGCAAGUCGAACGGAAAGGCCCUGCUUUUGUGGGGUGCUCGAGUGGCGAACGGGUGAGUAACACGUGAGUAACCUGCCCUUGACUUUGGGAUAACUUCAGGAAACUGGGGCUAAUACCGGAUAGGAGCUCCUGCUGCAUGGUGGGGGUUGGAAAGUUUCGGCGGUUGGGGAUGGACUCGCGGCUUAUCAGCUUGUUGGUGGGGUAGUGGCUUACCAAGGCUUUGACGGGUAGCCGGCCUGAGAGGGUGACUGGCCACAUUGGGACUGAGAUACGGCCCAGACUCCUACGGGAGGCGGCAGUGGGGAAUAUUGCACAAUGGGCGGAAGCCUGAUGCAGCAACGCCGCGUGCGGGAUGACGGCCUUCGGGUUGUAAACCGCUUUCGCCUGUGACGAAGCGUGAGUGACGGUAAUGGGUAAAGAAGCACCGGCUAACUACGUG